rnacentral:rRNA from 2 species
ACCAACAGGGAUUGUCUUAGUAACGGCGAGUGAAGCGACAAAAGCUCAAAUUUGAAAUCUGGCGCCUUCGGUGUCCGAGUUGUAAUUUGAAGAAGGUAACUUUGGUUUUGGCUCUUGUCUAUGUUCCUUGGAACAGGACGUCACAGAGGGUGAGAAUCCCGUGCGAUGAGAUGCCCAAUUCCAUGUAAAGUGCUUUCGAAGAGUCGAGUUGUUUGGGAAUGCAGCUCUAAGUGGGUGGUAAAUUCCAUCUAAAGCUAAAUAUUGGCGAGAGACCGAUAGCGAACAAGUACAGUGAUGGAAAGAUGAAAAGAACUUUGAAAAGAGAGUGAAAAAGUACGUGAAAUUGUUGAAAGGGAAGGGUUUGAGAUCAGACUUGGUAUUUUGUAUGUUUUACUCUCGGGUGAGGCCUCUGCAGUUUACUGGGCCAGCAUCAGUUUGGAUGGUAGGAUAAUGACAUUGGAAUGUGGCUCUU